rnacentral:lncRNA from 1 species
CCACUGAUUAAUCUUUCUCCCUUUUUAUAUUUUGUACAGGAAAAGAGCCUCACCCGCUGACUUUAAGGACCUGACCAUCCUCUCAGAUAUACAGAAGAAAUAGAAGUACCUCACAUGGAUUAUCUGUCAAGGGUGCAGAGCUUCCUGUAGAGCCCAGAAGAGCUUUGAAUAGAGAAACAAAGGAAAAUGGUGGGUGCAGAGAAUGUGUACGCUGCAGAAGACAGGAUGUAAAUUACAGCCAAGACAGCAUCCUGGUCAUAAUUUGAAGGCAAAUGUUAGACCUUUGCUCAAGGCAGAAUGAUCAUGGUGAGUUUGGACUGCUGAAGCACAUUUCUGAUACUCUAC